AUUAUUUGUUUGGCCAUAUAUAUUUUUAAAUUACAUUACACGCAGUGCAUCCAGCCUUCAUUCAAUCAGGAUAAUACCAUACCAAAGAAAAACUAAAAACAUAGCAAGUAUCCUUUUCCCCCAAAUAUCUGUUUUCCCCAUUUUUUCAAACAAUUGAAGCACAGAGAAAGAGAAUUACUGGUGACAGGUACUGGCCACAAGAGGCACAAGGAAGGACACUCUGUGAACAGGACAAAGAUUUAACCUCAAGUGAAGUGGAAGCAGUCCAGAAGAAAAAGGCUGUCGGGAGCCAAUGCGAAUUCCACCUGUUCAUAAAAAGGGGAGAAUGGUGCUUAUCAAGGUUGGAACUGAUUUAAUAAUCAAGAAGAACCAAACCAAAUUCUUUGCCAUAUUCCCAGAAUAUUUUCAUUCAGCAUGGCAGCUGGUGGUAAAUGUGAGAAAAAAACAACAACAAAGGAAAGAAGGUCACCUGAAGGGUAAAACUUCUACCUGGUGUUAAAUUGGCAAUAAGGUUUUACAGCCUACACAGUAUUCAUGAUACACUUUUACAGUUGUUUACCCACAAUGUGGUACUAAAUCACACGUCACCUACAUUAAAGCGAAUGGACUGUUUUUACUUUUUCAUUGAUGAUUUUGGGUACUUAAACAGUAUUAGGUGUUAUGAAACGUAAUCACAGCCAUCACUUAUGGAAAUA